UUUCCGUAGGUGAACCUGCGGAAGGAUCAUUAUUGUCUAGCCGAGGUUCGAGGGCUGCCGCUGACCCGAGUGUACCUGCUCGGCCGAGUGCCCUCACGGACAUCCAUCUCACACCUAUGGGCAACACCGCGCCGGUACCCCUUGGGCUUGUUCGGAGGGGGGCGUACGUUUUCACAAAAACUUUGAAAGCAGUGGAGAGUGGAUUUUUUGUUUUUGCGGUCACGCAAUGAACACAACUUUGAAAAACGGACCUCUUGGCUCUUGCAGCGGUGAAGAACC
rnacentral:misc_RNA from 1 species